AAUCAGGUUAAACAAUUAAAAAACACCAGCAGUCAUGAAAAAUAAACUGAAGGAAUGCUCCAUCUGCAUGAGCAGGGUCAAAAUUCAGAAUUUCCUGUUGGCUGUAAUGACUGCACAAGUUUGUGCAAAAUCUGAUGACCCAGGGUGGCACGGUGGCUCGGUGGGUAGCACUGUCGCCUCACAGCAGGAAGGUCCUGGGUUCGAUCCCCAGGUGGGGCGGUCCGUGUCCUUUCUGUGUGGAGUUUGCAUGUUCUCCCCGUGUCUGCAUGGGUUUCCUCUGGGUGCUCCGGUUUCCUCCCACAGUCCAAAGAUGUUCAAGUGAGGUGAAUCAGAGACACUAAAUUGUCCAUGACUGUGUUUGAUAUAACUUUGUGAACUGAUUAACCUUGUGUAAUGAGUAACUACCGUUCCUGUCAUGAAUGUAACCAAAGUGUAAAACAUGAUGUUAAAAUCCUAAUAAACAAACAAACAAA